AUUGAACGCUGGCGGCAGGCCUAACACAUGCAAGUCGAGCGAGAGGCGGACGGGUGAGUAAUGUAUGGGGACUGCCCGAUAGAGGGGGAUAACUACUGGAAACGGUGGCUAAUACCGCCUACUGCCGGAUAACCAAUAUGGGAUUAGCUAGUAGGUAAGGUAAUGGCUUACAUAGGCGACGAUCCGUAGCUGGUCUGCAAGGAUGAUGAGCAAAACUGGGACGGAGACACGGCCCAGACUCCUACGGAGGCAGCAGUGGGGAAUAUUGCACAAUGGGCGCAAGCCUGAUGCAGCCAUGCCGCGUGUAGGAAGAAGGCCCUAGGGUUGUAAAGUACUUUCAGUCGGGAGGCGUUACCGACAGAAGAAGCACCGGCUAACGACGUGCCAGCAGCCGCGGUAAUAC
rnacentral:rRNA from 1 species